UACAGAGGUGCCAAGCGUUGUUCGGAUUUAUUGGGCGUAAAGGGUGCGUAGGUGGUGAUGCAAGUCGGGUGUGAAAUCCCGGAGCCUAACUCCGGAAUGGCAUUCGAAACUGCAUUGCUCGAGGUCUGGAGAGGUGACUGGAAUUCUCGGUGUAGCAGUGAAAUGCGUAGAUAUCGAGAGGAACACCAGAGGCGAAAGCGAGUCACUGGACAGAACCUGACACUGAGGCACGAAAGCCAGGGGAGCAAACGGG
rnacentral:rRNA from 1 species